ACGACCUUACUUGAACAGGAUCUGUUCUACAGGCUCGUACCGUUGCAUCCUUUACCAAUAAGGAGGCAAGCUCUCAAGUCUGGUUGAUGCCGACAUAACCUCCGGGCCAGAGCGUGAUUUUAACGGCUAGGAUGCAUGUUUGAGCCAUCCGACGGCUGCAGAGGAUCGUUCCUGCCUGGUUCACUCCGGUGCAGGGUGGCCCAGAGGUUGUCUGACAGAUA
rnacentral:snoRNA from 1 species